CAACCGCUGGCACAAUACGUGGAUGUUG
rnacentral:ncRNA from 1 species